AUUGUGUUGUAUACGCCCCAAGACCAAGUUUUAAGAAGUUGGAAUGGCGACAGUGCGGAAGAAGUUAGUUAUCGUGGGUGAUGGGUCCACAGGUAAAACAUGCCUUUUAAUAGUGUUUAGCCGCGGCGAUUUUCCCGAAGUCCACAUACCUACGGUAUUUGAUACGUACGUAGCUGAUAUUGAGGUGGAUAAUAAACAGGUGGAACUGGCUCUGUGGGACACAGCGGGUCAGGAGGACUACGACAGACUACGCCCACUCUCCUACCCCGACACUGACGUCAUCUUAAUGUGCUACUCCAUAGACAGUCCCGACAGCCUGGUCAAUAUCAGGGAAAAGUGGACCCCCGAGGUCAGACAUUUCUGUCCCAAUGUUCCCAUCGUUCUAGUAGGCAAUAAAAAAGACACACGCACUGAUCCUGAAGUGAUCAAGGAAUUGGAGCUCAGGAAGGAAGAGCCGGUGAAUACCCAGGAGGGACAAGAGGUGGCGGAGCAGAUCCGCGCCUUCUCCUUCGUGGAGUGUUCCGCCAAAACUCAGGACGGUGUCCGUAAGGUGUUCGAGACAGCCACCUGGGCGGCGCUACAGGUCCGGAAAAAACGGAAGCUGCGAAAGUGUAAACUUUUGUGAUUUCAUGUUGAUGUGCACAGUUUUUUCCACAUUUCUUUUAUUUAAAACAUUACGUCUGUGAUAGAGGAAAGACGGAUAUGCGCGCGCGCGUGCGUCUGCAUGUGCGUGUGUGUGCUUAGUCUAAACUUACUGCAUAAUGCGAUAUUUUUGUUUACAUACAUAUCUUAGUUAUUGCAUGCUAAAUUUCAGCGAUAUUACUGUUAUGACUUCUAUAAAUUGAGGUCGUUAUAAUUUGAGGUUUUCCCUAAGAUGGAUAGCCAUGUUGCCAAUGAUGUUGAAAAUACAUGUGUUCAUUCAGUUGUAGUAAUGGUGCAAUGUGGCCUAUCUAGAUAUAUAUAUCAAAUAUAUUAUGUUUAGGUGAUGUUUUAUUUGUAUGACAAAGAAAUUAAAUUAUUGUGUCAAUGAAAGUGAAUGAUAUGUUGUUUGUUUGGAAAUAAACUGAAAAAAAAA
rnacentral:sRNA from 1 species